UACGUAGGUGGCAAGCGUUGUCCGGAUUUACUGGGCGUAAAGAGCGCGCAGGCGGUCGAAUAAGUCGAAUGUGAAAGCCCCCGGCUUAACUGGGGAGGGUCAUUCGAUACUGCUCGACUUGAAGGCAGGAGAGGGAAGUGGAAUUUACGGUGUAGCGGUGAAAUGCGUAGAUAUCGUAAGGAAGACCAGUGGCGAAGGCGGGUCUCUGGACAGUUCCUGACGCUGAGGCACGAAGGCCAGGGGAGCAAACGGG
rnacentral:rRNA from 1 species